UCCAAAAUGGAGGGAAAAACUGAAAAGAAAUAUAAAUUAAAAGAUUAAUGAAAUACUUUUGGGGGGUUUAAGCUUUUAAAUUAACAGAUACUUGUAAAUAGUAAUAAUGGUGAUUGGAAAGAGGCACUUUCAUCAUAUACUUUUGACAGGAGAGUUAAUUGGCACAGAUUUACCGUACUUCUAUUUGACAGUAAGUAUCACGUAUCUAGAGCUUGUAUGGAAGAAUUCCACUUCUGGAAAUUUAUUCUUAGGAAAAAAAUCUUUUAAAAUCUAAGAUCUUUCAUAACUCAUUGCAAUGUACUGAGUUACAAUACAUUGUUUUGUUUUGGGGUUUUGAAUAGUUAAUAUUCAAAGUUCCUUAUUUUCAAGAAGAGGGAGUAUCCAAGUAAUCUGAAUGGGAAUAGAGAAAUUCUUUCUCAAUCUAAUCAACAUCUAACUUUAGAAGGGGGUGGGGAAGUGACCAGGAAUGAGGCAUGAGCAGAAGUUCUUGGGAAAUCUUCCAAGAAAUAAAAUUUGUUUGGGGCAUCUAGGUGGAGCAGUUGGUCAUAAAAUGACUAGCAGUGUUACUCAUCUACCUUAAUUUCCUUUGGCAUAUAAUUUAGCAUAUUGACUAAUACGUAAUUUAACAUAUUGACCAAGGAUUAGGACAUGAACAUCUUUGGGAGGCUAUUUUUGGCCUGCCAUAUAUAGCCAGCUUAUACCUGAAACUAUCUUUCUUGCAAUGGCAGCAAUCCAAAUGUCAGUUCAUUUUCGUAGCCUUAGCUGUGCGAGUCUAUCCCACAUAUAUAUGUCAUUCAGAGCAGCUGAAGAACUGGUUAGAGUUGAUACAUGAAAUUCAGGGCUCCUCCUCUUACGUUCUCUCAUUUUGGGAAUCUCACCUACAUAACUCAGUGAUUAUGGUUGACCCAAAUUCUGUCCUCAGGUUCUUCAAGCCAAUAAGAUUGUGGAUUUUGUAUUGAAGUUUUAACUACCCUACAUGAUGAAGACCUGUGCUUGCAGUUGAAAAGUCAUAUACAUGGGAAGCCCACUCUAUGUAACUCCACUCUACCAAGUGUUGAUUUCUCCCCAGUGUCUGCCUACUUUGAGGUGCCAUAUAGUACCUUCAGGUAGGAUUUCUUUUUGCUUCAGACAUAAAAUAUAGUUAUUAUCUGUGUAAAGGCUGGUAUGAAAGUUAGCUUCUACCAUACCAGAAGCUUUGAUAUUCAUUUUUUAAACUGCUAAUGACCAGGCAAUUUCUCAAUAAAAUGAGGACUAAACAAUUUAUAAAAAUAACUUCAAUAAGUCAAUACUCCAGUGUUCUAAAAGAACUUCAAUUGACUGUCCACUGCUUCUACCUAGAAUAUUCAAAAUAAGAGCCUCAAAUGCAAAAGCAAAUAUUGUGUACUGAGGUGUUAUCAAUAUAUGUUCAAUCUGAGGUAGUAUCUGAAUAUGUAUGUAGUUGGAUAGAGAUUUAAAGCUGGUAGUCAGAACAUGACUUUAGAUUCAGAGUCUUGCUGGAAAGAGACUAGUGAUGGCAAUUAAUUUUGUUUAUAAUGCACCCAUAAGCAAAAUCAUAAAUACUUCGAAUAAAAAACAGCCAGUUGCUUCAGAAUGUCCUUUGAACAUAUUAAAACACGGCCUCAUCUAUACUACAGGGCACCACCAGAUUUUAGCCUAUGCUAUAACCUUCACAUUAUAAGGGAAUUUAGAAAUUGACCUAAAGGGACACCUCAAAAAAACAGGAUAUUUGUUGGUUUCACUAAGCUUUCUACUAUUUUGUUUCUUGUACAUAAGAUUUUUUUCUACUUAUAAAAAGAAACAAAAACAAAAAAAAGCUUCUAAUGUUAUUUCCUAAAAUACGGGGAUUUGAUUCCUUACAGUUAUUCACCAGAAUUUCUUAGGCCAGUGAUUUCCACAAGAAAGGGAAAUUGUUUGGGUUGGGAUUAUUUCAGGGGCAUGCAUGUAUAAAGACAAAAUGUUGAUACAAUAUGAUUGUUGGAAGAAAUUAACUACUUUAUAAGAAGUGUUUUGAUAUAGAAUACAACAAAAACAACUCAGUACUAGCUUGUAAUAUGUCAAAAAAUAUUUUUCUAAACACUAGGCCAUGGAAUCUUUCAUACCACAAAAGGAAAUAUCUUUGUUUGAGCUCAUUUCAACCUGUGGCAGCACUUUUUCUGUGGGCCAGUGAUGCUGGCUUAAAAUACUUUAUCAUUUUCCCCUCUGAUGAGAAUGUGGUAGUAAAACAGCAAGUUCUUAGGAAACAGAGAGAGGUAUCAAAUUUUUAAAUCUCUCACUGCACAUUAAAACUUUCUAUCUUCCUCCUUCUUUCCCUCAUGUUCUCUGUUUUUUCAUACACCCACACAGAAAUCUUCACAACAGUUAAAAUGGGAGGGGAAAAUGAAACACAUAUUUUAUUUGCUCUAACAUUGAAUAAAAUCUUUAAGGGGAAAUUUUUUUAACUUUUAUUCAGUCUCUAAGUAAAAUAGAUUUUCCAGAAAGAUGAGUUAUAUCCUAUAUCUUUGAGUCACCUCCAACAAACCAAUUUACUUAUGUUCCAUGGACUAUGCAUUUCUCAUUAUAAGAGUUGAACAUGUAUGAUGCAGUGAAAAAUCUGUUAAUUCCUUUAAUACAACUUGGAGUUUCUUUGCUUAAAAAAUAUCAAAUUCCAUUUCAUUCACAUUACCAUAGCUGUUCUCAUUUUACUCACUAGAGAAAAUGCAGUCUGGUUGAAAUUUAAAAUGGUACCUCUUUAUCCAAAUAAUAAGGACUUUGCAAUAUAAUUUCAUUAGAAAACUUUUCCACAUCUGGAUUUGACUUCAUAGCCUCAAUUACGGGUGCCUGGAUGACUCAGUGGUUGAGCGUGCCUUUGGCUCGGGUUGUGAUCCUGGGGUCCUGGGAUAAAGUCCCAAAUCAGGCUGCCUGCGGAGAGCCUGCUUCUCCCGCUGCCUGUGUCUACCACUCUCUCUGUGUCUCCUGUGAAUGAAUAAAUAAAAUCUUUUUAAAAUAAAUAAAUAAAUCAUUAUUUAAAGACUUACAUCUAAAUAUUGUCUCUGUCAGACUAACAAGAUAAAUGACAAGUCAAAGUAAAUAUAGAUGUUUUGCUAUGGUUUAUGAUUUGGUUUCUUUUUUAAACUUUCAUUAGUUAUGUUUCCUUUUAGUAUUUUCCUCUCUGGUGUUCCAUAUAGCACUGCUACAGUUUGCUCUCCUCUCAUCUUACAGGGUUAACUGGCCACAUCAUUUCAUCAAAUAAGAUGUGUACAAUUUCUGACACUUUAGAAGAUGAUUUUGUUGCACAGUGGUUUUUAGCUUGGAGGUUUCUCGCAUUUGUUGGAUCUCAUUGUUUCUUCUAGCUCUUUUUCUUUUUUUGUAAUAAAGUAAAUGAGUUUUGCUCAGAUUAACAUUUAAUAAAUUUAUAAACAAUUAUGAAGAACUAAUUAAGUUAAUUCUAUAGUCUUUCUUUUCUUGUUGAGAUUUAGGUUAGUAUGUGAUUUUCUUUUACUGUGGUGGAUAAGUAACACUUGUGAAAAGAUCUGCUUAGAAAAGGGAAAAGAAACAGAUGGCUCAUGAAGAUAUAUUUCGAUAAGAGUCAGUGCAACACAAAUGUUGGUAGCAGGCUUUCUUAAAAUAUUUUUUUUUCUUUUACUGAUUUUGAUGCUUAUGAUUAUAUUUUGUUUUCUUACCUGUCUUGUUAUAAAGCGGUUAACGUAUCUCAAAGCAUCAGGGAAAAUAAUUUAUAUAAGGAGUAGAUAAAAUUGAACUCCAAAAUAGAUUGCCUUAUCAGAGAAUUAUAGAAAAACGUCCAUCUGGUUUUAAACCUUUGUCUAAAAAUACAAAGAUUUUAUUUAUUAGUAGUACUUUCUACUCUAUAGAGUACAGACUUCAAUUAAGUGCAUUUAAAGAUCUAGCAUUCUCUAUGGAAUUAGCAUUGUUGCAUUAAAUAUCAGUGUACAUUUACUUGCAACAAACAUUCUAAUCCAUCAUCUGAACCCUAUACGUAUGUCUUGCCUUUUUAAACUAUUACAAAAUCAGGAUAAAUAAUUCAUACAGGUAUAUCCAGCAAACUAUUGUCCAAAAUGAGGGAGAAAUAAAGACUUUUACAGAUAAACAAAGGCUGAGUUCAUUAUUACACUUGUCUUACAAGAAAUGUUAAAAGGAAUGAUUGAAUUCAAAUGAAAGGAUGCUAGACAAAGCAGCCCCGCGGGCUCAGCGGUUUAGCGCCACCUUCAGUCGGGGCCUGAUUCUGGAGACCCGGGAUCGAGUCCCCACAUCAGGCUCCCUACAUGAAGCCUGCUUCUCUGUCGGCCUGUCUCUGCCUCCCUGUGUGUGUGUGUGUGUGUCAUGAAUAAAUAAAUAAACUCUUAAAAAGAAAAGAUGCUAGGCAGCAACAUGAAAGCAUGUAAAAAUACAAGGCUCUCUGGCAAAGGUAAAUAUAUAUAGACAAAAACCGAAUCCUAUAACAUUGUAAUAGUAAACCAUAAUUCACCUUAAUUGUAGCAUAGAAUUGAAAAGAUAAAAGCAUUAAAAUAAUUGCAGCUAUAUUAUUAGAUUAAUGGAUACAAAAUGUAAAAAUAUCUAAUUUGUGACAUUAAUGACAUAUUAUAGGGAGGAUGCAAAAGAGUAGAGUUUUCACCUAACACUAGAGCAUUCAAAUGUAUGAAACAAACAUUGACAGAAUUGAGAGAAGAAAUAGAAAGCAAUACAUUAAUAGCAGAAGACUUCAAAACCCCAUUUUCAAUAAUGGAUGGAUCAUCCAGAUAAAAGCAAUAAGAACACAGAGAACUUGAACAACACUAUAGACCAAAUGGACCUAACAGACGUAUACAGACCAUUCCAUCCAUAGUUGCAGAGUACAGAUUAGUUUCAAGCAUACAUGGAACAUUCUCCAGGAUAGAUCAUAUGUUAGGCCACAAAACAAAUCUUAAAGAAUUUAAUAUUAAGAUUAAAUCAAGUAUCUUUUCCAACCACAAUGGAAUGAAACUAGAAAUCAACAGCAGAAGGAAAAAGCAAAAUUCACAAAGUGGAAAUUAAAGAACACACUCUUGAACAACUAAUGGAUCAAAGAAGAAACCAUAGGAAAAUUUUAAAACAUAUUGAAACAAAAUUAAAAACCCAAUAUACUAAAACAUAGGUUGUUGCAAACGUGGUACUAAUAGGCAAGUUAGUAGUGAUAAACAUGUAACUAGAAAAGGAGAAAGAUCCCAAACUAAGAACCCAAUUUUAUAUUUCCAGGAAUUAAAAAAAGAAAAACAAACUAAGCCCAAGUUAGCAUAAGGGAGGAAAUAAUAUUCAAGCAGAAAUAAAUGAACUAAAGAAUAGAAAAGAAUAGAAAAAAGUCAACAAACUCAAACCUGAUUUCCUGAAAAGAUUAGCAAAAUUUAUAGACCCUUACCUAAGCAAACUAAGAAAAAA
rnacentral:lncRNA from 1 species